rnacentral:lncRNA from 1 species
GCUGGCAGAGACUUCUCUGAUGAGAAAAUGAUAAGUGUUUUCAAAUGCUGUUCUGGUUAAAAGAAAGCUGAUCCAAGGACUCUACUGCAAAUCAUCUCUUUGGGGUGUUGACUGUCAAGAAAGGUAUUUUUCUGUGCCUUCCUUGCCCUGCCUCUCAGAUGACACCUGUUUCCUGGUGGCAUUUCUUCUAACUUGAGUUAGAUUCACAAUUUCUCAAGCUGCUGGAAGGAUCCUACGAUCAACUUUUCCUGGGGAGACAUGAACAAAUGCCUACUCACUCCAGAUUGGGCACCAUCAAGAAACCAAAUGAAUGACUGUACCCAAGUCUAGCUUAGUGAAGCAAUGCAUUUUUUUGCACUUGUUCCCAGGAAUAUGGAGUUAGUGAGCACCUUGCAGACACACAGGAUGUACUUCUCCAAGAUGGUGCAAUGGAGCAGAAACAGCUCAUGUCCCUAAUAAGAAGCCACGAGGGACCUCAUUGCUUAUUGAAGAGUCUUGCAGCAUACUUUGUUCGUUGGUCUUUUCUUAAUGGUUGGCUAUUUCUCCUCCAAUUCAAGAACAUUAAAAUCUAACAGAACAAAGACCGUGACCACCCCAGACACACAUCCCACAACUCCAAGCUAUGUGUGUCCAGAAGAGAAACAAAACAAAAUUUAUGGCUUUUGCUCUAGUAAUUCCUGCCACCCACUGAUCUAAGUCAUUCUUGAACACGAUUAUGAGUGUUUUCAUACAUAUGUGAUGCAUUGAGUAACUGAAUGGAUCCCAUCUGGGAGAUAUAUAAAGUGGACACUGAAGUGACUCAUCAGGCAGCUGCAGAGAAUACACAGAUGAGAAUGGCAGGGAACUCCACCAUGAAGAUGCUGAGCAUCAUCCACACCAUUUCCAGAAGAUGGAAAAAGCCACAUGACUGUGGAACACCACAAAAUUGAGGAAGAGUUUGAAGCUCACGGCUGCCAGAGUGAAACCUUGGGCUCUGGUAUUAGCUGCCUUGUACAUGGCUGAUUGGAACACAAAGGAAAAUAAUCUUGUAAGUUGUU